rnacentral:rRNA from 1 species
GUACACGCUGUGACUAGCAUAUCAAUAAGCGGAGGAAAAGAAACUAACAAGGAUUCCCCUAGUAACGGCGAGUGAAGCGGGAAGAGCUCAAAUUUGAAAUCUUAAAGGGUUUCCCUUUACGAAUUGUAGUUUAAAGAAGUGUUUUCUGUUGAGGUUUUGGUAAAAGUUCUUUGGAAUAGGACAUCAUAGAGGGUGAGAAUCCCGUAUUUGACCUUUACUUUCAACUUUGUGAUACACUUUCAAAGAGUCGGAUUGUUUGGGAAUGCAGUCCAAAAUGGGUGGUAAAUUUCAUCUAAAGCUAAAUAUUGGCGAGAGACCGAUAGCGAACAAGUACCGUGAGGGAAAGAUGGAAAGAACUUUGAAAAGAGAGCUAAACAGUACGUGAAAUUGUCAAAAGGGAAGCGUUUGACACCAGUGUUGUUUUUCUGAAAAUCAAUUAAAGAACUGUUUAUGCUAAGCUGUUUAGACUUUAUCAGCUAUCUGUUUAGUUUUGAGCUUUUCUUUAAUGCACUUUUCAGUUAACAAGUCAACAUCAAUUUCUUUUGCUGUAAAAAAGCUUGAGGAAGGUGGCUUGAGAUUCGUCUUAAGUGUUUAUAGCCUCUUGCCUAUGCAGUCGGAGAGAUUGAGGUCUGCAGCGUAGAUCCUUCGGGGCUAAAUGCAUUUGUGCUAAGUUAUAGCAUUUUAUAGACAACUUGUUGACUAUGAUUUGUCUUGUAGCUUACUCGCUUAUGUUAUUUUACCUACGCUUAGGAUGUUGACACACGCGCGUGCUCG